GACGAACGCUGGCGGCGUGCUUAACACAUGCAAGUCGAGCGGUAAGGCCCUUUCGGGGGUACACGAGCGGCGAACGGGUGAGUAACACGUGGGUGACCUGCCCUCAGCUCUGGGAUAAGCCUGGGAAACCGGGUCUAAUACUGGAUAUGACUCCAUGACGCAUGUUGUGGGGUGGAAAGCCUUGUGCGGCUGAGGAUGGGCCCGCGGCCUAUCAGCUUGUUGGUGGGGUGAGGCCUACCAAGGCGACGACGGGUAGCCGGCCUGAGAGGGCGACCGGCCACACUGGGACUGAGACACGGCCCAGACUCCUACGGGAGGCAGCAGUGGGGAAUCUUGCACAAUGGGCGAAAGCCUGACGCAGCGACGCCGCGUGAGGGAUGACGGCCU
rnacentral:rRNA from 1 species